AGAGUUUGAUCAUGGCUCAGGACGAACGCUGGCGGCGUGCCUAACACAAGCAAGUCGAGGAGGUAAUGUACCCGAGUAAUCGGGAUACACGACCGGCGCACGGGUGAGUACCGCGUAUGCAACCUACCUUCAACAGGGAGAUAGCUCCCGGAAACGGGAAUUAAUAUUCCAUAAUAUUUUUUUAAGGCAUCAUAGAAAGAUUAAAGCUCAGGCGGUUGAAGAUGGACAUGCGUGACAUUAGCUAGUUGGUAAGGUAACGGCUUACCAAGGCUACGAUGUCUAGGGGGUCUGAGAGGAUGAUCCCCCACACUGGUACUGAGACACGGACCAGACUCCUACGGGAGGCAGC
rnacentral:rRNA from 1 species